rnacentral:tRNA from 1 species
ACUAUUUUGGCAGAUAAUUGUAAUGAUUUUAGAAGUCAUCAAUAUAUAAUUUUAUUAUAUAUAUAGUA